GAUAAUCAUGUCUAACAAGAAACUACUAUUGAGCAAGGUUAGCUGGCAGAACUCUUAGCUCCCAGAAAUUGAGGUAGUGGCUGGCUGGCAAGUUAAAUCUGCAGCGAUGGAUUUAUUGAGCAAAGAAACAUGGAAAACUGGAUGCACCCUGCUUACUUACUUUUUGUAGUUGUAGCUUAUUGAUGUCUCCUUGUUUGAGCCAUUAUUAGCAGCUCUCUCGGUUCACUCAGCAUGCAAUUUCG
rnacentral:lncRNA from 1 species